rnacentral:rRNA from 1 species
GUCGAGCGAGCGGAACCAACAGAUUUACUUCGGUAAUGACGUUGGGAAAGCGAGCGGCGGAUGGGUGAGUAACACGUGGGGAACCUGCCCCUAAGUCUGGGAUACCAUUUGGAAACAGGUGCUAAUACCGGAUAAUAAAGCAGAUCGCAUGAUCAGCUUUUGAAAGGCGGCGUAAGCUGUCGCUAAGGGAUGGCCCCGCGGUGCAUUAGCUAGUUGGUAAGGUAACGGCUUACCAAGGCGACGAUGCAUAGCCGAGUUGAGAGACUGAUCGGCCACAUUGGGACUGAGACACGGCCCAAACUCCUACGGGAGGCAGCAGUAGGGAAUCUUCCACAAUGGACGCAAGUCUGAUGGAGCAACGCCGCGUGAGUGAAGAAGGUUUUCGGAUCGUAAAGCUCUGUUGUUGGUGAAGAAGGAUAGAGGUAGUAACUGGCCUUUAUUUGACGGUAA